rnacentral:misc_RNA from 1 species
GUCUAGCAUGGCUUGCGUUGAUCACAUACUAACGUGUCCGAUGUUUAAUGAGUGGGUUUCCCCUCACGAGCUGAUGGCUAGUUGGUGGUGGUUGAUCUUCCAAUGGGACGACGCAUGAGUGGUGAUUAGGAUGUGCUUUCCAUGCAGGCUCUGCGUAUCGUACGUCGAACUGUGUGGAGCCAAUCGUUUCAGUAAUCCAUUGUGCUUGUCAUUUUCUCGUUGCAAAAUGAUUGGGUGGUUUCUGUGUUGGCUACUGAUUUCGGUAUGCGAGAUUUGAUGGAAUCCAUUGUGAUUUGUUCUUCCGCCAUUGGCUUGUCCAGUGAAGGGGGAUGUUGUAUCGGUCUCCCAUGUUUCACACAAGUUAUCUCCGUGUGGGAGUGGAUUUGUGAUGGCUCAUGGGGUGGCCGUUUAUGGUGCUCUCGGGUAUUGUGAAGUAUUCGGUCGUUGUUCGGGUCUUUCACCCAUGCGUAUCAUUUCUUGAGCAUGUAGCUUUAUUUUGUAGGACCCUCGAGAUUGUCCCUGAGCUCACUGAGUCGUUGUGCUUGUUGCUCAUCAGGGAGAUGACGAGGUCUAUGAGUAAUGC